UACAGAGGUCCCAAGCGUUGUUCGGAUUCACUGGGCGUAAAGGGUGCGUAGGCGGUUUUACAAGUCUGACGUGAAAUCCUGGAGCCUAACUCCGGAACGGCGUCGGAAACUGUAAAACUAGAGGAUUGGAGAGGGGACUGGAAUUCUCGGUGUAGCAGUGAAAUGCGUAGAUAUCGAGAGGAACACCAGUGGCGAAGGCGAGUCCCUGGACAAUACCUGACGCUGAGGCACGAAAGCUAGGGGAGCAAACAGG
rnacentral:rRNA from 1 species